AGAGGAAUUUGGCACCCCCCCCCCCUCUGAAAAAAGAGAGACAUCCCUAGAUUCUUUGGGCGCACCCUGGACAUUCCUCAGUGCUCUCCUUUUUCUUUUGUGGUGUUUCUGGGCCUCGCUCGCGGUGGAAGAUGAUCCCUUUUAGCUGCGCGUGUUCAUCUCGGCACACGGACACGCUUCCUGUCUCUGGGUGGUGGACUUUAAACUGGUGGAAUCACAGUGGAUCUGUCCCUCCGAACGCCACACACCGCCGCUGCAAGGACAACGUGCACGCUCAGACCACUGUGUGUGCGUGUGUGUGUGUGUGUGUGUACAAGCCUUUGUUUGUUUAGGCUGCAGUCUCAGAGUUUUGUCACUGUGUCUCAGUAAUUUCCUGCGAUCGACAAUAAAAGGAUCACACACACACACACACACGCACACACUGAGCCCUUCCGCUGUUAUUCUGGAAACCAGAUUCUGUCGAUCAUUGUUUUCCUCCCUUGUUUUCACACACAAACGAAGCUACAUAUAUAUAUCUAUAUAUCUAUAUAUAUAUAUCAGCAGACAUCUGUUAGCUUUGUCUGAGGAUGAUUGAUGUUUUUUAUCUGCUAUAGCAGCUGCAAAAAUAUUUAACUCUCCAUAUGAGCUCACUAAGAAUAACCCUUUUAUAUAAACAAACUGCAUAUAAGUAUAUGCCUCUAAAAUGAAUGCAUCUCUAAUUUAAAGUGCUGCAUCACCACUUUUCCCAUGACGGUGCUUCUGAUCCUAAAAGGAACUUCGAGUUUGGGAAGUGAAAGAAUAGGCACAUAAAACAACACAGCUGGGCAGGUCGGUCCAUAAGAUUUCCGUACAAUGAAAAGGGCUUAAAGCAUUUGCAUUAAUGCACAGAGUUAAAGCCCGUAUAGCCGUAUAGUGUGCUAUCCAUCUCUAUUAAAGGAUCGAGUUUGUACCUGGACUAAAGUCAUGACAACCACAGCAGUGGUUGGAGUGUGACGAGCUUUGCUUAGCAUGUUGCUAACCUCUUUGCCAGCAGUUCGCAGCAACACAAGGAUCCGUCCCACUCGGCCUCCAGCCGAUCAAAUCACAGCCAGGGGAGAUCUGGGAAGGCUGCCUGCUACUUCACCAGUUCUCAUGCUCGUCCCAGAAAGACACUCAUCUUUUUAGGAGGCCCAGCGUCUUAACUGUGACAGUUUUGCGAUUUCAGUCAGUCUUUUUUUAUUUGGCAACAGAUGGGGUUCCUCGCAGGCCGAGGGAGAGACGGGAGCGGGAGGAGAGGGAGGAUGGGGGGUGUAAAUCAGGGGUUGUGGAGCGAAAUGGGUGGUUUUAUGAGAGUUUACAGACCUCUUACUUUAAAUGAGAAAACAGCAAAAGAAAGAGGUGUUCGGUUGGAGGGG
ensembl:lncRNA